UUUAUUGGAGAGUUUGAUCCUGGCUCAGGAUGAACGCUGGCGGCGUGCCUAAUACAUGCAAGUCGAGCG
rnacentral:rRNA from 3 species